rnacentral:tRNA from 1 species
AUUUAUAUAGUUUAAAUUAAAACCCCUCAUUUUCAAUGAGAAGACAAGAAAUUAUUCUUUAUAAAUA